CCUCAGGCCCAGCCCACUCUUCAAAUUAUCCCAGCCUAACACCAUACCUCCAUUCACCAGUCCAAUACACUAGCCAUACCCGACCCAUUUUAGCUUCUCCUCAACAAAACAGCAACAUACACCAACUCCAUGAAUAGACGACAACACCAACAUCUACGUCACGAACCCGACCACCUCGAACCUGACCCAGCUCCGAAACCCGUCCCCAACAACAUCGAUUCAACCCGAACUAACAAAUCAUCUAAAAGACCACGCAGGUGUCCUCUGACAUUCAAAAUUUGUUGGUAACGGAUAGAGUUGUACGAACUAGUACUAGUUCUACAACUAAGCCUUAUCCUUAAUCAAAUUUUUGAAUUUCCCCUGUAAAAUUCCCAAAAAAUAACCUCGAUUUCACUUCUCCCACAUUGAUAGAAAUGGGAUUCGAUCUCCCCAAUCUCUUCUAUAUAAAUGCGGCCUUGCUAAGCUGAAAAAGAUGGAGGUCUUGAAGGCUGAAAAUGGAGCACUCAAGCAAACCCUCGUUCUACUAAAAAUCUUUAUCUUCGAAAAAGGUCGGUGGUUAAUCGACGUUGUCAAGUUGAGGAAUGAUUCCUGGUGGUGUUGGAAUCCGACAUUAGCUCGAAGGUCUCGUUUUGCUGCCCAAGAACAGCCUUGGAGUUCAAAUGGACAUUUUUCUCCUCACAUUUCAUAAUAGGGCCUACAUGGACCACCUUCUCGAAUCAAUUUUGAAGCCUCCAAAAUCGACCUUAUGGUAUACCGAAGGCAAGGAGUCGAAGGAAGAAGAAAUAAGUUAAAAGCCAUCUUUGAAACGGCCAAGGGACUUGAAAGUCCCAUUUUUCAUUUGUUUUGCUUAUUUAUUUAUUUAGUCCUUUAUUGUUGUCUUUAUUUAUUUCUUUUCAUUAUUCAUUCCUUUUGGGCCUCGAAGCCAAAACUGUAUUUAAUACAGGUGGAGCAAGAUUCGAGCCAAAGGUUCGAAAACUAGAUUAGGACAGGUGAAACGGGUCAAAGGCUCAACUAGACUAGGACAGAUUUUGUUGGUUUGGGCCAAUGGCUUAAAUCCCUUAUUCCUCCCCUUCCCCUGUUCCCUAUGUUUGUUUUCCUUAUGUGCUUUCCGAACUUAGUUAGAUCCUUAGUUAAGUCGCUAAAAACUGGUUUUGCAUAAACACCAAAA